AGAGUUUGAUCAUGGCUCAGGAUGAACGCUAGCGGCAGGCUUAAUACAUGCAAGUUGAGGGGCAGCAUGAUAUACGCGAGUAUAUUGAUGGCGACCGGCGGACGGGUGAGUAAUAGGUAGGAGACCUACCUCAUACAGGGGGAUAGCAUAGAGAAAUCUGUGGUAAUACCCCAUGAGGUUAUAUGAAUAGAGGCAUAUAAUCAAAGCAUAAGCGAUUAUGCGGUAUGAGAGGGGCCUACUGACCAUUAGCUAGUUGGUGAGGUAAGGGCUCACCAAGGCGAAGAUGGUUAGGGGUUUUGAGAGAGAGACCCCCCACAUUGGAACUGAGAGACGGUCCAGACUCCUACGGGAGGCAGCAGUAGGGAAUAUUGGGCAAUGGGCGAAAGCCUGACCCAGCCAUGCCGCGUGAAGGAAGACGGCCUUAUGGGUUGUAAACUUCUUUACUACGCGAAUAGAGGUUAGUACGAGAUACUAAUAGGAAGGUAGUGUAGUAAAAAGCACCGGCUAACUCCGUGCCAGCAGCCGCGGUAAUACGGAGGGUGCAAGCGUUAUUCGGAAUUACUGGGUUUAAAGGGUGCGUAGGCGGUUAAAUAAGUUGUCAGUGAAAGGCUACGGCUCAACUGUAGUAGUGCUGGCGAUACUGUAUAACUAAGGACAUGGGAGGGGUACCUGGAAUGUGUGGUGUAGCGGUGAAAUGCGUAGAUAUCACACAGAACACCGGAGGCAAAGGCGGGGUACUAGACCAUAGUUGACGCUGAGGCACGAAAGCGUGGGGGAUCAAACAGGAUUAGAUACCCUGGUAGUCCACGCCCUAAACGAUGAUCACUAGAUAUUGGCGACAGACAGUCAGUGUCCAAGCGAAAGUGAUAAGUGAUCCACCUGGGGGAAUACGGCCGCAGGUUAAACUCAAAUGAAUUGACGG
rnacentral:rRNA from 1 species